rnacentral:pre_miRNA from 1 species
AUAUAAAUCACCUGCAGAUCUUGUUAAAAUGUUGAUUCUGAUUCAGUAAGUCAGAGCCAAGAUUCUUCAUUUCUAUCAUGGUACUGGGUGAGGCCAAU